rnacentral:ncRNA from 2 species
AAAAAGUAAUUUAUCGAUGGUUCUACGCGAGUAGAUUAAAAGGGAACCCCGUGCUUCUGUAGGUUAUACAGGAAAGUCGGGGGCUGCUCCCGCAACUGUAGGCGGUAUGUUAUCUCUUCGGUGCCAGAAAUGGCAGGCCACUGGUGAUUUCACUGGGAAGGCCAGAAGGGUGACGCGAAGCCGUGAGUCAGGAUAUCUGCCAUUGAUUGUGCAACCAU